rnacentral:rRNA from 1 species
GUGCUAACCGCCGCGGUAGUACGGAGGGUGCAAGCGUUGUCCGGAAUCACUGGGCGUAAAGGGUGCGCAGGCGGGGCAGCAAGUCGGAGGUGAAAGUCCAUGGCUUAACCAUGGAAGUGCCUUCGAAACUACUGCUCUUGAGUCCCGGAGAGGCUGUCGGAAUUCGUGGUGUAGCGGUGAAAUGCGUAGAUAUCACGAGGAACACCAGAGGCGAAAGCGGACAGCUGGACGGGUACUGACGCUCAGGCACGAAAGCGUGGGGAGCAAACAGGAUUAGAAACCGGUAGUCC